GAAAUCUCAUCUGGAUUUAAUCUUGAUAUGGGACAUAGUAAUACAAGAGAUAGACAAGAAUGAAUUGUGAUGGCCAGACUAAGAAGAAAGAUGAGAAAUCAAAGGAAGGGGGAAGUGAAGGAAAUGGUUCAGAAAGACGGUACAGCUGGGACUAAAGGCCACUGGUAUAUGCAGAUCUGCCUGGCAAUCAGGAACAACCACCUUGAUUUGCUGUGGCUCCUCAGCUCAAGAAACCUGUGCUCAUUGGGAUAGGGGAACGAUUUUGGCCCAGAUUCUUGCAGCCCUUUUCAGAGGCAAGUCCUAUAUGCUUGAGCAUGGAGAUGUAGAUGGUCCCCAAAUUAAUCUUCAUUUUUAAUUUUGUAGGUGUGGAAGGAAUAGGAGGACAACCUUUUUUUGUCCUGCAGCAAGGGGUAAGGUCAGAUGGCCUAAUCAUACAGCCAUCUUUCACCUCCUUGGAUAUUUAAAAACAUUGAAAGCUCUUUAAACCGCCCAUGUGGCGGCAGACAUAAUUAAUGA